rnacentral:rRNA from 1 species
UACAGAGGGUGCAAGCGUUGUUCGGAAUUAUUGGGCGUAAAGCGCGUGUAGGCGGUCUCGCAAGUCGGAUGUGAAGGCCCUCGGCUUAACCGAGGAAGUGCGUUCGAAACUACGAGACUUGAGUACCGGAGAGGGUGGCGGAAUUCCCGGUGUAGAGGUGAAAUUCGUAGAUAUCGGGAGGAACACCAGUGGCGAAGGCGGCCACCUGGACGGCUACUGACGCUGAGACGCGAAAGCGUGGGGAGCAAACAGGAUUAGAAACCCCAGUAGU